UUACAUGCAUAGUUAAUUAUAGAUUAUCGUUGAUCAUCUCAACGAGAUUAAUUUUCUCGCUUGAGCUGGUACAGCGAAAGUGAGAAAAGCAAUCGAGUUGAGAUGACCAAUGAUAAUCUGUUUAUCGCUAUUUUACCUAUGACGACGUUGUCAAUUUCAUGUCAAUUUCGUUAGCAACGCCACGUGGCCUCCUUAGUUUCUAGCGAUAAUUUUUCCAUCUCAAGCGAGAAGCAUGAUAUGAAAAUUAUCACAAAAAAAGAUCAAAAGAAAAAUGCACAAAAUAGCGAUAAUAUAUCUUACAAGUUUCAU
rnacentral:lncRNA from 1 species